GAUGAACGCUGGCGGCGUGCUUAACACAUGCAAGUCGAACGAGAAGUGAAGACGGAAACCUUCGGGCGGAAGGCUUUAUUUCGAGUGGCGGACGGGUGAGUAACGCGUGGGUAACCUGCCUCAUACAGGGGGAUAACAGUUGGAAACGACUGUUAAUACCGCAUAAGACCACAGCACCGCAUGGUGCGGGGGUAAAAACUCCGGUGGUAUGAGAUGGACCCGCGUUCGAUUAGCCAGUUGGCGGGGUAACGGCCCACCAAAGCGACGAUCGAUAGCCGAUCUGAGAGGAUGACCGGCCACAUUGGGACUGAGGCACGGCCCAGACUCCUACGGGAGGCAGCAGUGGGGAAUAUUGCACAAUGGGGGAAACCCUGAUGCAGCGACGCCGCGUGAGUGAAGAAGUCUUUCGGUAUGUAAAGCUCUAUCAGCAGGGAAGAAAAUGACGGUACCUGAGUAAGAAGCCCCGGCUAACUACGUG
rnacentral:rRNA from 1 species